UGAAAACCUUCACCUUUUUCGUCGUUUACCUUUAUAUACUCCAUAUCCCAGUAUCCCAUCCAAUUCCGUUUUCGUCGUUUACUUUUAUCUGAUUGUUUCUGCCACUACAACCCACCUAAAUCCGGCUACGAGAAACAUCAAUUGCUCUGUGAUCUUCGUUUCAUGCGUUUCUUCUUAUUUUCUUCCGGCCACUGAAAUCUGGCGACCAGAUCUCCAGAAGCACCAUCAUCUUUCUCCGGCCACUUAAAUCCAGCUAGUAAAAUCUUUCUCCAUUUUCCAUGCCGUUGGAGAUGUUCUUAUUCUUUCCAACAGAUCUGUGUGUUCAUGAGGUACUAGGACGAGAACAUCUCGAUCGCAUGAGGGCGGUUGGUCACGUUAUCGGCCUAAAACAAUCAAUGAUUAUAAGACAAAAAAGAAAGCUCGUGAGUUACCCAAUUUUGAACAGAUGCAAGAGAAGCUAGAGACAAGACGAGGAUGUCUAAUAACAACUUUGAUGACAAGAUCAAAGAUAAGUUGAAUAUUCAUAUGGCAGAACAAUUAGUGCCCAUGGUGAUUGUUGUGUUGAAGCAACAUAAGAUAACUGAUAUAGUGGAAGACACAAAUUUUUCUGGGGGAAGACAACCGGUGUUGGAUCGAAGACAUCCAUGACAUUGUUGGAUGAGUUUCAUAAGAUAAUUGAAGUCUUCGGCUAUGAUUUGAUGCUACCAUAUAGCAUAGUACACCCAUCAUUACCAAAGAAACCGUAUUCUCUUUUUGAGAUGGGGUAAUUCAUACGCUUCCUCUAAAAUCAGUUCACGUGAGGGUAUCGGUCGAUAUUAUCUAUGGAGAUCAUCAUUUUAUCCUUCUUCCAGUCUCCCCAAUUAAAGGGUAUAUAAUUUGGAGCAGGCACUUCAUAGUUUUAUUAAGUGGCCUCGAGAUUCUAUUAUUCUCAUUAAUAUACAUUAAUAUCUAAUCACAUGCAUUUAUGACUAUUUAAUAAACUCGAUUCUAGUUAUGCAGGAAAAAAAAAACCUCUCAUUGAACCACUACCAAUGUCGACCUAAGCUAAUCCUAUUCUUUAUGACCAAGUAGUCACUCAAACUUAUAAUUGUGGAAAGGUAUUAUUUUCAUUUACAUUUAAAGAGAUGAUAGGGGAUGAAGCGAAAAAUAAGAUACAAAAAAAGUUAUACCAAACGGUGUAGAAAACUAUGUUGCCAAAGAAACCUGAGGGUAGAUCGAUGAUGCAUGGAUGGUUUAAGAGCCACAACAUUCCGGAGUUGUUUACCAUUGUGUCUGAAUCCGGGAUCUUCAACAUUGCGAGUGUUGAAACCGUGAGUAACUCAGAUGUUGAAUGUUGAAUAACUUGAUAUUAGUUGUAUUCUAUGGUAUCAAAUGUAAGUACCUUAAGAUUUACAGUAUUCAUGUUUCAUAUUAUUUUACCAUUAUAAUAUAUAUUGUGUUUUUUCGGAAUGCUACAUUCUAUGGUACCAAGAAUGGAUAAUAAAUGUGCUUUUAUAAACCCACAACAUAUCACGUUCAAGAGAUGUGAAUACGAUAAUAGUGGUGAAACAAAUAAUAUCGUCAGUGAUCUUGUUGAUGUGAUGAAUUUCCAUCGGGAAAAACAUUUUUUUUUUCUUGCACCAUAUUGGGAAAGGUAUGAUAUUCUAAUAUCUUUAUUGUUAUAUAAUAUUUUUAAUCAAAAGUUGUUUAUAUUUAAUUUGUUGAAUCUUUAUUAAAAAACAUUGGAUGUUGAUAGUGAUUUGUGCUCAUCAAUAUAAAAGCUACAUUUUGGAUUCCGCCCGAGGGACAAAGACAUUGAAAGACUACACAAUAGUUGAAUAUGUGAAUAAGGUUGUUACAUGGUUUAAAAAAACAAAAACCGACAGAUCACGUUUGUGUCCAAAAAUCUCCUCAAGGUAAUUUAGAUAUUGUAUGUCCCACACAAGUAGACCCUUUAUAUACUUAUGCAGUUGUUAAUGGCUGGAAUAUCUUAUAAUUUGAGUUUUCUUUAUAUUGUUCCUAUUAAAAAUUAUUUGGGAUUUUAAGAGUAUGAAUCCUAAGUUUUCUUAUUUUUGUAUGCAUACAAUGGAUAAGCCACAAAAGGGAAAUAGAGAUCAUAGGUGUGACAUUCAACAAAUUUAAGAAUGCUUUAAUGUUUAAUGAACUAGGUAUGCAAAUGAUAGCCUUUUAGAUUGUAUAGACUAUGGAUAAGUCUGAAAGAAUAUUAAUGUUUUUAUGUUUAAUGAACUAAGUGGUUCAUUUUAACUGUUUUUUCUAUGUCUGGAAAUGA